UGGAAGCUGCGUUUCAGGCAGUGGCUGCGGAUGUUCUAUCUGUUGGUCAAGGUUCCACUGGACGCGUCUCCGUUGUUGUUGGUUUGUGUGGUAGUGUUAGUGUGAGCACACGCUCCCCCAGAAACUGGCAGGAGUGAAGCUGGCGUCUCAUUAAAGAGAGCAGCAGCAGGUGUGAGGGGGCGGAGCCUGAUCAGGUGAGGCUCCGCCCGUGGCAGGAAACAGUGAACCUCCGACCACUGCUCAGCGCCGUGAUUCCUCUGCUUUUACGUAGUUUUACCUGUGAAGCUGCUGGUGUGUAAAUUACUUGUCUGUUGGUUCAGUGAAACAUUUCUGCAAAGCACAGAGGCGAGGAGUUGGAGCAAAAGGAAAAGACGCCUCACGAGGACGGAGACGCUGGAACGUUGGCCGUCCAGCGGCGGUUCUGACUCGGCUGUGACUCGUCCGGCUCAUUGAGGAAACAUGCUCUCAGCUCCACCCUAAAAGCACAGGACGCGUGGAUGAAGACGCCGCUGCCUCCCGUUCAUUCACUCAGCCAGCGCUGGUGUGUGGAUUGGGUCCUAAUAGGUUCAUUCUGCUCUGUUUGCUCAUUUGUGCGCGUGUGCAGGUUGUGUGCUUUAUGUAAACACAGAGCAGCCUUGGUCUGGAUUGGAUUGAAUGCUCCUGCUCUCACAGCAGCAUCCUUGUUCUGCCGGGGUUUCAAGAUGAAAGCAAAGUGCACAUUUGAUUGAGAGAAGCUGAAAGAGGCUUUUCUCUCCUCGCUCUCAAAAGGACACGUUUCUCUCAGUGGGCGCUGGUGUUCUCUGGUGGACGACGUGCAAACUAUACCUGUGUUUCUGGGAGCGUCCGCGAAGGAAGGUGAUUUGACAUCAGUGAAAUCAUUCAGCGGCAUAAAAGCACAAAUCCAUGCGUCAGAAUGAAAAGUCAUAUUUGUGAAGUGAAUCCAGAUGAUUUUGUUAAACCGUGUUUCCACUCAUUGCACUACGUGUUUAUUCACCCACUGUUUUGUUAUCAUGAAUAUUUCAUCUUUGGUGUUGCGUUCAAGAACACACUGUCCUGUCUCCACUGUGUUAUGUUCAGAAAAUAAAGGCUCAUCACGUUCAAGCUUCA